GGCAUUACCGAUGAGAUGUGCAUGACACUCACAUGCGAUUUAUCGUGCAGCCCUAACCUCCACUGCCUCCAUCCACCCUCAGGUCUGUGCAGACACCUGCACCGCCUCCAUCCACCCUCAGGUCUGUGCAGACACCUGCACCGCCUCCAUCCACCCUCAGGUCUUCACCACCAUCUAAUAGGCCGACAGUUCCACCACCUCUGGGUAACCUUAGAAGGCCCAAUGUUUCCACCCACCACCAUGUCACCACAUCACCAGAAACCCCUCGAAGACAGAUCAGGGACAACAUGUUUGUUCGCAUCUUAACACUGCUUGAGGAGAUGAAAGAGACACAAAGAAUCCAGGGGAGGAUACUACAAACGCUUCUACAACAGCGUGGCAACAUGAGCUCCACCGUCUCUUCUACCCCAGAGGGCUUCCCCCUAAAGACGGUUAGGGAUGUGGAAAUCAUGGAGGAAAAACUGGCAAACCCAAACUUCAUGUCUGAACUGGUUGCAGCUGUGACUGACAUAGGGGGGGAACUGUUGACGAGGCCACAAAAAGAAUGAUGACCUUCCUUCUAGACCAUGGGCUAUCCAGGCAGUAUAACUUUCUGGGCCGAAAUGGAAAGAGAGAAUUCAAGUCCUUAAAACUGUAUGAAGUUAUAUAUGGAGGCUUAAAGAGAAACACCAUGACCAGCCAAAUCACCCGUAAAGAUGCCGAGAAGGCGGUCUCCAAGUGGCUCAUUGGUGCUAGGGACCGGGGGGGUAAUAGACAGGCCCGACAGGCAACCCCUCAACAAGGACUUCAGGCUUCAGGCUCAUUUGAGGUGGAAAGAAACUAAUUCUGUCUGUGACAGUCAGGGAACAUUGCAAAAGAAUGUUGUUAUAAAUUUACUUACAAUUAAUGACAUUUUUAUUUAUUACUGGUCUCUUUGUUAUUGUAGCUUGUUGUGUUCAGGUCUGUGGGACCAGUUUUCAGUGUUUGCUAAAAGAAAAAGUUUUGCUAUUUAUUAUUUCUUUUAACUCAAACUUAUUGGCCGUGGCACAUUUUCUGUGAAGAACAUAAAAAAUAACUUAUUUCAAUGACUGCACAUGGUACACCCUCCUAUACAUAACUAUUACAUAUGAGGUGUUUGGCUCUACUAAACCCGAGACUAAUAAUUUAAGGUGCUAUGAAACUUAACUGUGUGUGUGUGUGUGUGUGUGUGUCUUAUUUGUGUGUGCGAAUGUUUUUUUUUUCUGAAACUACUAUUCCCACACACAGUUACAAAAUUGUUACAUUUCAAGCACUUUCACCUGUUCUGAUGAAGUUUUAAUAAAUUAUUUUUUAACAUUUUU